rnacentral:rRNA from 1 species
AGAAUCAACGCUGGCGGCGUGCCUAACACAUGCAAGUCGAACGCGAAAGUCCCGCAAGGGAUGAGUAGAGUGGCGAACGGGUGAGUAACGCGUGGGUGACCUGCCUUCGAGUGGGGGAUAACGUUUCGAAAGGGACGCUAAUACCGCAUGACAUCCGGCCUUUGGAGAGGCGGAGAUUAAAGCUGGGGAUCGCAAGACCUGGCGCUUAGAAGACGGGGCCCGCGUCCGAUUAGCUAGGUUGGUGGGUAAUGGCCUACCAAGGCGACGAGUCGGUAGCCGGCCUAAGAGGGCGGACGGCCACACGUGGGACUGAGACGACGGCCCAGACCUCCGUACGGGAGGCAGCAGGUGGGGAAUUGGUUCGACAAGUCGGGCGCCGAAAGCCUAGGACGACG